CAGUCUACAUCUUUUUACAAAUGAGGUUAAAUGUUUAUUCAUCUAACAAAAUUUCCUCUACGUAACACUGAGCUGGAGUAAGUAUCUGCACAGAAAGUAAUAAAUGGUGGUUAGAUUCCCAAGCCCCUGAUAAAGACUUAAUUCAUAUAACACCAUGCUAUAUUAAUAUGGCAAUACCUUUUUCUUUUGAAAGGCAUAACGUUUUUUGUAAACAGAUUAAAAGAAGUACCAGCCAACACUUCCUGGACUCCUCACAGACAAGGAAGUUCUGCUCUUCGAAAGAGGUUGAGAAGAUUUGAAACCGUUACUUCCGAACUAAAGUGUUGUUUGAAAAUCUAAAGGGGAAGAAACGUACAUGAUUAAUGGCCAGAAGUCUCACAGGAGCAAGUGGAUGAUUCAGACUGAGCAUCAAGGAGGUAUCAGAAUCUGCUAAAAACUACAGGAUUCAUCACAAUCACCAAACGAUUUCACCAUUAAAUCUGAGCAGCAUCUGAUCAAAAUUAAGAACUAGAGAAAACCAUCCCAAAAUACCCAACAUAUUUGAUAACAAUCAUCUAAUUUCAGACACCAAGAAGUAAAGUAAAAUCUUUGUCUCUAGAACAUGGUAUGAGUUACAACAGAUGAACAAAAUGUGUAUUAUUAAUGUUGUGAUUUUGAGUACCCUCAUGGCUAUGGGUAGGUUUAUUUAGCGAAGCAAUUCUAUGAAGUAACUUUGCAUUCUUUAUGUAGAUCUGACUCCAGACUGAGAAGUACCUAAAAUAAAUCAUUUUAUUAGCACCUAAAUGAAAAUAUAAAUUAAAAAAAUUGGUCACUAAAGACAAAAAGCAAUUCGUCUAAAUGCUACAACGACGGUCAAAUUUAUGACAAGUUACUUCACUUAGUAAUCAGACUAAGAAGGAAAUCUGUCUACCAUUCUCAGAUUUGGAAAUGAAACGCCAUUAAAGAUGAAAGUCUAAUUAUGGAAGAGCAAAACCAAAACAAUCACAUUUCUUUUCAUAAUAUUUAUCUUCAAGGUUAUUUGUAAGAACUGCUUAAGUGUCUCACUUCUAGUAGAAAGAUUUAGGGUGAAUCACCAGGAAAUUUCUAAGUUCUAACAUGCUCAUGAAAUUAAAAUCCCCCUACUCUUUCUAAUCAGUGACUUAAAUAGCCACAUGUAGCUAGUGGGUACUGCACUGGAAAGUGCAGAUAUGGGAGAAAAAUAAGGACACGCUGGAAACUAAGUGAAGCCACCUUUUAGUGAUUGCUAAUGACCAUUUGUUAACAUUUCCAAAUAAUACUCUUCCUGAAAUACAUAUCCCAUUCAGUUAAAUUACUGUGCCCUUUUCCAAUGAUUCAACCCCUGCCUCACAGCCUUACUUCAGGGAACUAGGUAAACUGUAUCAAAUCUCAUCUGUCCAUUAAACUUUCCACAGAAAGGUGUGACAUAGCAAAUUUCCUUCCAGACCUCUUCAAAGAGCCACACAAAUAUACCCGUAAUUGUAGUAAUUUCUCUGAAGGAAAACUUACUUGAU